rnacentral:rRNA from 1 species
AACGAACGCUGGCGGCAGGCCUAACACAUGCAAGUCGAGCGAGGACUUCGGUUCUAGCGGCGGACGGGUGAGUAACGCGUGGGAAUGUGCCCUUCUCUACGGAAUAGCCCUGGGAAACUGGGAGUAAUACCGUAUACGCCCUUUUGGGGAAAGAUUUAUCGGAGAAGGAUCAGCCCGCGUUGGAUUAGGUAGUUGGUGGGGUAAUGGCCUACCAAGCCGCCGAUCCAUAGCUGGUUUGAGAGGAUGAUCAGCCACACUGGGACUGAGACACGGCCCAGACUCCUACGGGAGGCAGGAGUGGGGAAUCUUAGAAAAUGGGGGCAACCCUGAUCUAGCCAUGCCGCGUGAGUGAUGAAGGCCUUAGGGUUGUAAAGCUCUUUCAGCUGGGAAGAUAAUGACGGUACCAGCAGAAGAAGCCCCGGCUAACUCCGUG